UACAGAGGUCUCAAGCGUUGUUCGGAUUCAUUGGGCGUAAAGGGUGCGUAGGUGGCGCUGUAAGUCAGGUGUGAAAUUUCGGAGCUCAACUCCGAAACUGCAUUUGAUACUGCGGUGCUUGAGGACUGGAGAGGAGACUGGAAUUCACAGUGUAGCAGUGAAAUGCGUAGAUAUCGUGAGGAAGACCAGUGGCGAAGGCGACUUCCUGGCCUGUUCUUGACGCUGAGGCGCGAAAGCUAGGGUAGCAAACGGG
rnacentral:rRNA from 1 species